GCGAGUCGAACGAUGAAGCCUAGCUUGCUAGGUGGAUUAGUGGCGCACGGGUGAGUAAUAUAUAGAUAAUGUGCCUCUUAGUCUGGGAUAGCCAUUGGAAACGAUGAUUAAUACUAGAUACUCCUUCUUACUCUAAUGUAAGUCGGGAAAGUUUUUCGCUAAGAGAUCAGUCUAUAUCCCAUCAGCUAGUUGGUAGUGUAAGAGACUACCAAGGCUAUGACGGGUAGCGGGUUUGAGAGGAUGAUC
rnacentral:rRNA from 1 species